GAUGAACGCUAGCUACAGGCUUAACACAUGCAAGUCGAGGGGAAACGGCAUUGAGUGCUUGCACUCUUUGGACGUCGACCGGCGCACGGGUGAGUAACGCGUAUCCAACCUUCCCAUUACUGUGGGAUAACCUGCCGAAAGGCAGACUAAUACCGCAUAGUCUUCGAUGACGGCAUCAGAUUUGAAGUAAGGAUUUAUCGGUAAUGGAUGGGGAUGCGUCUGAUUAGCUUGUUGGCGGGGUAACGGCCCACCAAGGCAACGAUCAGUAGGGGUUCUGAGAGGAAGGUCCCCCACAUUGGAACUGAGACACGGUCCAAACUCCUACGGGAGGCAGCAGUGAGGAAUAUUGGUCAAUGGACGGAAGUCUGAACCAGCCAAGUAGCGUGCAGGAUGACGGCCCUAUGGGUUGUAAACUGCUUUUGUAUGGGGAUAAAGUUAGGGACGUGUCCCUAUUUGCAGGUACCAUACGAAUAAGGACCGGCUAAUUCCGUGCCAGCAGCCGCGGUAAUACGGAAGGUCCAGGCGUUAUCCGGAUUUAUUGGGUUUAAAGGGAGCGUAGGCUGGAGAUUAAGUGUGUUGUGAAAUGUAGACGCUCAACGUCUGAAUUGCAGCGCAUACUGGUUUCCUUGAGUACGCACAACGUUGGCGGAAUUCGUCGUGUAGCGGUGAAAUGCUUAGAUAUGACGAAUAACUCCGAUUGCGAAGGCAGCUGACGGGAGCGCCACUGACGCUUAAGCUCGAAGGUGCGGGUAUCAAACA
rnacentral:rRNA from 1 species